AUGAACGCUAGCGGGAGGCCUAACACAUGCAAGCCGAGCGGUAGAGAUCUUUCGGGAUCUUGAGAGCGGCGUACGGGUGCGGAACACGUGUGCAACCUGCCUUUAUCAGGGGGAUAGCCUUUCGAAAGGAAGAUUAAUACCCCAUAAUAUAAGAAACGGCAUCGUUUUUUAUUGAAAACUCCGGUGGAUAGAGAUGGGCACGCGCAAGAUUAGAUAGUUGGUGAGGUAACGGCUCACCAAGUCUACGAUCUUUAGGGGGACUGAGAGGGUGAUCCCCCACACUGGUACUGAGACACGGAACAGACUCCUACGGGAGGCAGCAGUGAGGAAUAUUGGACAAUGGGUGGGAGCCUGAUCCAGCCAUCCCGCGUGAAGGACGACGGCCCUAUGGGUUGUAAACUUCUUUUGUAUAGGGAUAAACCUACCCUCGUGAGGGUAGCUGAAGGUACUAUACGAAUAGGCACCGGCUAACUCCGUGCCAGCCGCCGCGGUAACAC
rnacentral:rRNA from 1 species